rnacentral:tRNA from 1 species
UUCAAGUUAGCUCACGUUGGUAGAGCAAUCGACUAUUAAUCGAUGGGUCGCAAGUUCGAUUCUUGCAUUUGAAACCA